rnacentral:sRNA from 1 species
AUGGGGUGAGAGCCUUGUGAUCUUUUGCCUUCUUACUGUGAGUACACUUUUUUUCCCCUAGUGGCCAGCAGGGUGCGUGGAAAACUGCCUUCCUGUGCAAUUUCACAUACAACUUGAGAUGAUUCCAUCCUGAGCUCAAACUGAUGUCUCAGCUGGUCUGAGUUAACCGCCGAAGCACAUGGAAAACCACUGUCACGGGACUGGUAAUACGCUCGGAUUCAAGCGAAGCAAAUAGGCCACGGGUGAUCCAGGCUCAUCAUGGAAAUUCUGUAAUGAUACAUACGUUAACUGUGAUUCCCACGAUGCUCAUAAAUGUUUCCAGUUUAAAAGCCCUAACCAGACACUUCACUCUGAGAAUUCUUGAGCAACAUCAUUUGUGGCACAGACCGAAAUGGUUGGAGAAUUGACGUCUAAACCCAACAAUAUGACAUCUUGAUGAGAUUGUGAAAAAGUAUGACAUGAAAUCUUGGUUGGUUCUUAGAGUCUGAUGAACUUUCUAGAGUUCUAAAAAGCAUCUCUGAAAUAGUUUCCAAGGUGGAACUGAAGGACUUCCGAAGAGAAGAAAUCAUGAAGGAGAAAGGUGCGCAGGAUUGCCGAGGUUACCACAAAGCGUAAAUUAAGCAAAACCUCCAAGCUCAGAAAGUUUGUUUGUUGAACCCUUACUGACCUGAGACUUUCUGCGUUUGACGGACUGAGUGCUGGAAAUAAAGUCCUUAGCUCCAUUGAUUCUGGACUCAUAGUGGAAUCGAACAUCAUGGUGGUGUGAAAAUAUCAGGGACUUUCAGCUUCUGAUGGAUGGAAAGCAGAGAGUCAGAAGAAACUGGAAGAAAAUAAGGCCCCUCAGAGGCCUACUUCUGCCAAGUCAGCAUCACUUCCUAAAGUAUCCAACAGCUGAGGCCAAGCCUCCGAAACACCUAUGAGGUGUAUUUUAUACUCAAAACAAAACAAUGUUCAUAUGACCUAAGAUCACCCAAUAGAAUCUAUCUCAAAGAACACUUACCAGGAAGUGCUGAUGGUCUCUGGGCUACUUAGUCUCUGGUUCCUGGUCACCUAAGCAGUGCCUGGUAUCGCACUCCAUCUUGUGGAAUAGGCUUAACUCAAACCACACAUUGGCUGGAUGUCUUCGCAAGCCUUGUACCAUCAUUGGCAAGCAUAUUUUGCAGGAAUGACAUCAGUGUAAAUCAGAAGUCUUGUGGAUGGCUUGGUGUUUGUGUUUUCUUUUGAUGGCCUACAGAUAGCCUUCCCAUACCAAAGAUAUUAUAAUAAGGAGGCUCUAUGAUACAAUAGACCCUUAUAAUAAUAAGACUCAAUGAAGGCAUCAGCUCUACCUCUCUGGGUUCAAUCCUCUCCCUGUGUUCACUGAGUUGUGUGGGUGUUAUAUUCAUCAUUGGGGCUCUGUCGCUGGUUUGUGGAGAGUAACUUACUGUCUUGGCAAUAGCUUGGGUUGUUUGGGGGUUUCCAUGGCACUUCUUUGUACCCUCCCUAUAAAGUCCUUUGGUUUUUCAACCCAACAGUAGAAUUUCUGUUGCUUACAAUUAAAUGGUCACUAAAAUAUCCAUCUAUGAAUGGCUAAAUAUUGAUCAAGGAAGAAAGUAACACAAUAAAAUCUAUGGAAGAUGAUAGGUAGCAAUUGAACAAUUACCAUGGACUAGACAUUUUCCUACAGAUUUUAAGUAUAAUAACCAAUUUAAUCUUAAAGAUCUACCUUUUUUCCUCUUUUUGGGCGAGCAAAUUAUUACUUAUUUUGCAAUUUUAUAGUUUAAGAAAGAUUCAACAAAAUAUUCAAGGUCACAGAGGCAGGAUGGUAAAUUAGGUUAUUGUUUCUUAUCUGUCCUUCAUGUCCCCAACACAGCUCCCAUGGGAAGACUCU